GCGGGGAAAACCUCGGUCACAUGACUCCAGCUGUCUGGCGGUCCAGCUGAUGGAUGAGAGAGCACGGAGACAGACCGGACACAGAUCUGGUGGAAGUCCCUUGUAAUAGCGAUACAGCAGCAGCCUUUAAAAGGAGCUGCAGUGCCACCUAGAGGCCGAUGGCUGCAUUACAGCUCAGACACGACACAUGACCGACAUCUCGUUGAACUGAUUAAUAAUUAUGGAGUCAUGGUGACAACAUCUUAUUGUUACGCCCACAUCGCUGUAGCUUAUGCGAAGGUUUUAAGGAGAAAUAGACAGAUUUAGAUUCUCUUGUCCUCCAAAAAUAUCUUCUAACACAAAGAAAUGAACAUGAACAUUCUCUGAUUUGUCAGAUACUAAAAUAUAUUUCUCUUGCAACCUAAUUCAAGUUUCAGCAUUGCAACAACUUCCAAAGAAGUUAAAGUGUCCUGAAAGAUGCGAGCUAACUUAUCCAAGCACUAGUUUAUAUGUCUGCAUCAAAUUGACAACAUAGCCUGACAUGCACCUCCUCCAAAAUGCAACUACAUGUCGAUACAGCGUGGACUGCAAGCCCUGUGAUUGGUCGACUGCACUUCCUGAAUCACAUACAUUAAAUCCCCUCCAACAUCUCGUCUCUAUCCUUCCCUGUAAUCAUUCCUGUACGAUAAACAACAACCUUUAUCUGCUCUAAAUUAACUUAGCAAGAGAACACACUGCCCUCUAGUGUUUCGGCAUGGUACUGCAGAGCGACACGACACAUAUAAACCAUGCUUUAGCUGGAUGUGGUGCCCUGAAACACAACAAAUGAUUGCUCUUAUGUGAGGAUUAACACUCUCCAGCUGUUUAAAGUGAUAUUAAUUCAUUGGUUUGUGCACUUAAUGUUUUUUGAGAAGUUGUUGUCUGACGUCUGAUCCUCAUAACUCCUCAAACAGCUCUGACUCUCCUGGUCUCAGUUUCCUGCCCGUCUCAUGGCGUUAUCCUGCAUGUGUGUGUGCGUGAGCCUGUCCUCGUGCUGCAGCAUUAUCUCCUCUCUGCUGUUCUUUUCCGUCUCAGUCUGUGUUUUCUUUGUGAGCCUUCAUACAUGUCUGCCUGCAUGUGGGAACUCCCGCCUGUUGUCUAUUUGCGUGUCGUGGUCACCUGCUGAGUAAACCUCUGCGGCUCGGGGGUCAUCGGGGGCAGGACGUCCGAGUGGAAACUGUCGUUAACGCGGGGAUUAUUGUCACAUCCCAUCACGACUCCCCUCUUAACCUCGGGGUCUAAAUGAGCGCCCAACAACAGGCACGUAUUCCUGGAUGAAGAGUCAGAAACAUCCAGAAGUGGAGCGGGUUUUACUGGAACCAGACGACAUGCUUUAAUUGUGUCUGACAGGGAAAGAGGAAAUUAACUUCCUCAUCCUCAAAGUGUGUCAGGAGAUGAAUCAAAAAUAUCAAAACGUGUAUUUCACUUCCCUUUACAGACUGCUUCUGCCAGAUUUCUGCAGCAUUAUAUGAAGUGUAAAUCUGUCGUGUGUGUGUGUGUGUGUGUGUGUGUGAGCCGCGCUGAGGUUUCUUGAUUUUCUGCACAGGCCUCUCCUGGAGCUGCGUGUGCGUGGACGUGGACGUGGAGCUUUCUGUGUCUCUGGUAAACUGCUGGUCCACACAGCCGUGCAUCCGUACGUACGUGACUCUGAUGUUGCCGUGUCGUGUUCUUUUACUCCGGGUCGGGGAUCUGCGUGUUUUUUUCAGAUUAACAUGAAUCCAGAGAUGCUACUGUACGUGGACGAGGGUCUUUCGUUGCUGUCGGGGUGGGUUACGGGAAAGGGUCGCCAUGGCUCGUUGCCCCAUGGGAAGUGAAGUUCUCACCAUAUUUACACAUCUCUAAAGCCUCUGCUAAAGACUGAUGACUGUUCAUUUAGAGCUCAAUGAAUUUCUAUGAAUAUUUUAGAUUGCUCAAACUGAUUAUGUGCAAUUGUAAUGAUGGAAAUUCAAUAAAAAAGAGGUAUUUUUACACAA